rnacentral:rRNA from 1 species
GACGAACGCUGGCGGCGUGCUUAACACAUGCAAGUCGAACGGAAAGGCCCUGCUUUUGUGGGGUGCUCGAGUGGCGAACGGGUGAGUAACACGUGAGUAACUUGCCCUUGACUUUGGGAUAACUUCAGGAAACUGGGGCUAAUACCGGAUAGGAGCUCCUGCUGCAUGGUGGGGGUUGGAAAGUUUCGGCGGUUGGGGAUGGACUCGCGGCUUAUCAGCUUGUUGGUGGGGUAGUGGCUUACCAAGGCUUUGACGGGUAGCCGGCCUGAGAGGGUGACCGGCCACAUUGGGACUGAGAUACGGCCCAGACUCCUACGGGAGGCAGCAGUGGGGAAUAUUGCACAAUGGGCGGAAGCCUGAUGCAGCAACGCCGCGUGCGGAAUGACGGCCUUCGGGUUGUAAACCGCUUUCGCCUGUGACGAAGCGUGAGUGACGGUAAUGGGUAAAGAAGCACCGGCUAACUACGUG